CGGCUCGGGCUCGCGCUCCCUCGUCGCUGCUGCCGGCGCCCUCGGGGGCUGCAGCGUCGCCCUCCCGGCUGGGCCCUCUCCCCCCGGGGCCGCGGCUCGCCCAGGGGCGCUGGCGCGGCCGUGAGGCGGCGGGGCCGCGGGGUCGGCGCGCGGCGCGGCGCGGUGCGGGCGCAGGUCUAUGUCGCGGGCGGCGGCCGCGCCGCAGGGACGAUGCGCGAGUACAAAGUGGUGGUGCUGGGCUCGGGCGGGGUAGGCAAAUCCGCCCUGACGGUGCAGUUCGUGACCGGCACCUUCAUCGAGAAGUACGACCCGACCAUCGAGGACUUCUACCGCAAGGAGAUCGAGGUGGACUCGUCGCCGUCGGUGCUGGAGAUCCUGGACACGGCGGGCACCGAGCAGUUCGCGUCCAUGCGGGACCUGUACAUCAAGAACGGCCAGGGCUUCAUCCUCGUCUACAGCCUGGUCAACCAGCAGAGCUUCCAGGACAUCAAGCCCAUGCGCGACCAGAUCAUCCGCGUGAAGCGGUAUGAGAAGGUGCCAGUCAUCCUGGUCGGGAACAAAGUAGACCUGGAGAGUGAGCGAGAAGUGUCCUCCAAUGAAGGCCGCGCCUUGGCCGAAGAGUGGGGCUGCCCCUUCAUGGAGACCUCUGCUAAGAGCAAAACAAUGGUGGACGAACUCUUUGCUGAAAUUGUGAGGCAGAUGAACUAUGCAGCUCAGCCUGACAAAGACGACCCAUGUUGCUCCGCCUGUAACAUCCAAUAGCACCCGAGCAUGGCUGCCCUGGACAAGACUGGUCUAGGCUUGUAGGCAGCGGUCACCAUGCCUACUCCACUGCAGUUUGUAGGGUGGGCGGUGGGAAUCCACAGUGCACCGCGACCCUCAGGCUGAAUGGUCCCUCGAUGCCUCUGAGACCCUGUGGGUCCAGUGACCGCGGUCUCCACCAUUGUCCUUGGUCUCCUGUGCGCCUGCAACCUGAAGGCGCCACCGUGGAGCUACAGGGUGAUCUCAUUUGAAGCGAUGAUGGUCUGGCCACCGAGUUAACAGAGGCCACUGACGUGUAAAUUAAAUUAAAAGUAAUCAUGAGAGAAAAACCAGAAGAAUUCCUAUGACCACUAACAAAAUAUUUUGUCUUCUUUAAAAAAAAAAAGUAAAGGAGAAAUAUUUUCCUACGAAAGUACUGAAGUCGGGAAUUGAUGGGCCUUCUAGCCAGUGUAUUCCAGCUACGACCUAGAGCGAAGCACUUCUUGAGGCCUCUGAUCUUUACCAGACCCUAGAUGCAGUUUUCAGGCUGCAAACACGCUGGCCAGACCCUCAUCAGUGUCUUGCUACCAGGAAGCAUCCCCAUGGCAAAGGCAUUCUCUGUCUGGGUCGUGUCAUCAUCACCAAGUUCUACGUCCACCAUUACCCUCAAGAAGAAUUGCACUUCCCCAGAUUUUCUUUUUGUUAUACUCAGCACAGAAGCUGGUCUGAAUGCAGGUCAGUACGCAUCCAAACAGCCGCACUCGUAACACAUCUGGAGGAGGAAAUCGGGGAGCGUCUUCUCCUUCCAUGCUCGGAGGCCUUUCUGUUCCCCGCAGCAGCAAGGUGGGAGCCCUGGUUCCUCUCCAGCUGUAGUUAGCAGGAGGUCUCAUGUAGGAUAUGCAUGUUCUCGGAUUACCUGUGGACCUGGCCACAGGCGUGACAUAGCUUCCUAAGGCUCGGCCUCUGCUCCUGUGGCCAUGGCUUCCUGGUUCCCCAGCCUCCUGACAGAGCGAAAAUGAAAGUUCCUUUUGCUGAACAAGUUUUUAUGUCUCAGUCCCAGGAGCUCGGCCUCAAAUACUUUUGUGUAUGAUUAAGUAAAUCCCAGAGGAACUGGAUUGUUCCCUCCCGGCUACGUUUGACGUUUGACCUUUGACAGGUAUGGUUUCCUGUGUGACAAAGCUCUGAGGACUCAAGAGGGCCCAAUGGAGACUUGUGUCACAGAGAGAUAACUGGAUUACAGAGGGCCACCACGGGGACAGGCUGAUGGACUGGUUGAGUGAGUUGCGUUCGACUUACCUCAAGCUUCUUAAGUCAGAGAGCCCCUCUGUGCUCCCUCUUACAAGCAGAACACGGCCUACCCUCCGUCACUCCAUACUGUAAGAAACAGUGGGUUUCUGAUGGCCUCCAGGGUGGAGGAUGCCCAUAUACCAGGGAGGUCACACAGAUGGCACCCUGUGUCUUACUACUGCGAGCAGAAAGGGUGUUACCCCUUAAAUUGACCGGGUAAAUUGGGACUCUGUGUACACAGGCACAUUAGAACCUUCUCCUGAAAACCUGAACCAAGAGCUCAUCAGACUCACCGGGCCAACGAAAGGCCACGAUUCCCUUACUCGGUCCUCACAAAAAUGAGCAGCCAGCACCGUGAUGGCCAAGACCCCAGAGGGGGCUUCUCAUCCGACACCCUGGCAUGUGCAUCGGGGGACUGGUGUUCACAGGGAGCUGCAAGUGUCCCAGAGCGCUUAGCGUAGUUUGCUCCGUGCAUACAGAAACUAUGGAUAGAGAAGAAAUGGCUCCCUUCCUGUCGAUGGUCUCGAACUCCAGGCUCCCACAGGCUGAGCUUCCAAGUCCGGGAGCUUGCAUUGUGUUAGGACCGAAGCCUUGCGGCUGUAUGCCGACAGCCAGGGCUGCAGUUGUGAAUGAGAAACCAGCUUCCCUCCUCGGUACGUGACCUAUCGUCUGGAUGCCCAUUAGACUUGGAACGUUCAAACAGACCCCUAGUUUCCACCAAACAAAAAACAAAAGAAUGUCCUCAGCCGGUUCUGAGGCUCACAGCAGAGUUUUUCCCAGUUUGCUCGACCUCCCCACCCCCAACCCAGCUCAUACUCACGGAUGCAUCCGAAAAGUGUGUCAGUUUAUGACUGUCUUUGUCCCGCUUCUACAGAAAUUCCAUGAAGCCACUACCCUAUUGGAAUACGGCGUUUGGCAACAGACUGAAUCUGUGUUUCUAGGCUGUGGUCACUCGUAUUUUGCUUCACAAUAAACUGUUUUCUUGCUUUGA